rnacentral:rRNA from 1 species
GCGUAUCUGCAGUCGAGCGGACAGAUGGGAGCUUGCUCCCUGAUGUUAGCGGCGGACGGGUGAGUAACACGUGGGUAACCUGCCUGUAAGACUGGGAUAACUCCGGGAAACCGGGGCUAAUACCGGAUGCUUGUUUGAACCGCAUGGUUCAAACAUAAAAGGUGGCUUCGGCUACCACUUACAGAUGGACCCGCGGCGCAUUAGCUAGUUGGUGAGGUAACGGCUCACCAAGGCAACGAUGCGUAGCCGACCUGAGAGGGUGAUCGGCCACACUGGGACUGAGACACGGCCCAGACUCCUACGGGAGGCAGCAGUAGGGAAUCUUCCGCAAUGGACGAAAGUCUGACGGAGCAACGCCGCGUGAGUGAUGAAGGUUUUCGGAUCGUAAAGCUCUGUUGUUAGGGAAGAACAAGUACCGUUCGAAUAGGGCGGUACCUUGACGGUACCUAACCAGAAAGCCACGGCUAACUACGUGCCAGCAGCCGCGGUAAUACGUAGGUGGCAAGCGUUGUCCGGAAUUAUUGGGCGUAAAGGGCUCUCAGGCGGUUUCUUAAUUCUGAUGUGAAAGCCCCCGGCUCAACCGGGGAGGGUCAUUGGAAACUGGGGAACUUGAGUGCAAAAGACGAGAGUGGAAUUCCACGUGUAGCGGUGAAAUGUUUAAAGAUGUGGAGGAACACCAGUGGCGAAGGCGACUCUCUGGUCUGUUACUGACGCUGAGGAGCGAAAGCGUGGGGAGCGAACAGGAUUAUAUACCCUGGUAGUCCACGCCGUAAACGAUGAGUGCUAAGUGUUAGGGGGUUUCCGCCCCUUAGUGCUGCAGCUAACGCAUUAAGCACUCCGCCUGGGGAGUACGGUCGCAAGACUGAAACUCAAAGGAAUUGACGGGGGCCCGCACAAGCGGUGGAGCAUGUGGUUUAAUUCAAAGCAACGCGAAGAACCUUACCAGGUCUUGACAUCCUCUGACAAUCCUAGAUAUAGGACGUCCCCUUCGGGGGCAGAGUGACAGGUGGUGCAUGGUUGUCGUCAGCUCGUGUCGUGAGAUGUUGGGUUAAGUCCCGCAACGAGCGCAACCCUUGAUCUUAGUUGCCAGCAUUCAGUUGGGCACUCUAAGUCUAAGGUGACUGCCGGUGACAAACCGGAGGAAGGUGGGGAUGACGUCAAAUCAUCAUGCCCCUUAUGACCUGGGCUACACACGUGCUACAAUGGACAGAACAAAGGGCAGCGAAACCGCGAGGUUAAGCCAAUCCCACAAAUCUGUUCUCAGUUCGGAUCGCAGUCUGCAACUCGACUGCGUGAAGCUGGAAUCGCUAGUAAUCGCGGAUCAGCAUGCCGCGGUGAAUACGUUCCCGGGCCUUGUACACACCGCCCGUCACACCACGAGAGUUUGUAACACCCGAAGUCGGUGAGGUAACCUUUAGGAGCCAGCCGCGCGGGAAGUGGACAGUAGGGG